rnacentral:misc_RNA from 1 species
UUUUUUUUUUUUUUUUUUUAAUCUAAACUUACAACAAGACAAACCCUACCCUACCCCUUUGAUUUCCUAAUCAACUAUCAUCAUCCUAUAGUUGCCACACAUGAAUUCCCUGCAGAGGGACCUCAAUAGCUGCGUCAGCAUCAAUGGCUUCUAUCUUUAGGAGUGCAGCAUCUGCAGCUUCUAUCUCUGGGAGUGCCUUCUCUUCCUCAUUGUCACACAGGCUCAGGUUCAACAAUCACAACAGCAGCUUGCUCAAUUAGCUCAGGUCCACUCACGUGUCAGUCUGUCUCUAAUUGCAGUUGGUGGUGGCAGCAGUGGAUCUAGUUGGCGGUUUAUUAGAUUUUUUUUAAGGGCAUGUAUGGUUUUAAUGUGGGAGAUAAGGUUAAAGAGUAAAAGAGAUCUUUGCGCAAGGCAAACAGAGACAUAGAGAGUAAGGCUCUGGGAAGAGAGGGGGAAGGGGGCCGGUAGGAUAGAGAGAGAGAGAUAAGAGAGGGAAGAGAGGGAAUAAUGGGUUAAGGCCGUAAGGGGCAGAGUGAGAGGCAAAUAUUAACAAAUUUUUUUUUUUUUAAUUUUCUUAAUGAAUAAAAUAUUGCAUUUAUUUCAAUUUUGACUAAUUGGUUAAUUGGAUAAAAAUAUAACAAUUUGGAAAAAAUUGAAACAAUUAGAUUAAACAGCAAUUUUAUGAAAAGGUUUGCAUUUUUUUAUGAUUAGGCCUUUAAAUAAUAGUACUAGUUCCAUUGCUGUCACAAUAACAUUCCCACUAUAUUGGAUUAUAUAUUAAGACAAAAAUUUAACUAAACAUGCAGUAAUCUUGCUGAUCUUACUUUCAACUCCUAGUUUAAGAUAAAUAUAGCCUACAAACUAAAAGACCAAAAUAACAUCUUAUUUUGCAUGAAGCUUUUGAAGCACCCCUUGUAACAGCAAAUCAUGUGUUCUAAUGUCAAUUUACUAUUUUGAAGCUAAAACUAUAACUAGAGGACUGAAAUGAAUGAAAAAGGGGGGACCAAAAAAAAAAGGUUUAGAGCUGUAGGAAAGGCGAAAAUAAGGUUGUUGGCAGAAUAUUUUUUUUUAACUAAAAAAUGUAGGUUUUGGUCUUUAUAUCAAGCAACAAUCAUACAGCUGUUAUUAAUCUGGUUAUUGGACCAUAUUGGGCAAUUAGGUUGACUCCAAAUUCUUAGCCCUAGAUUACCUAAUUCUAUGUUGGUGCCUUAAGAUUCCAUGACAAUUAGCCAAUAUGGAACAUAUCAGCUUUUUUUUUUUUCCUCCAAACAAAAAACUGUAGUUGGCAGCUUAUUCAUCUGAUAACCAACCAAAGUUGUCUUAAAGCCUUUUACUCAAUUUUUCCAAAUUAUGAUAUAGGUAACUCAUUGAUAGAACAAUGUUACAGCAAUCCAUAUAUUUUACCUGUGCUAGCAUCGACCCAUCAAGGACUUCAGAGAGGCUAUGGACUUGGUGGCUAGGCCCUAGAGCUUCAGCUUUAAUUUCUUGCCAUUGCUUAACAAGUGCUUCAGCUUCUUCAACAGGCAUCUGCUUCCUAGAUAUUGUUGUCAUGAGAGAUGAAUGAUUGGCAGCAAGCCCUGCACUGUGCAAUUUUCUAGGAUCUGACUGAUUCUGGAACUGCUUUCUAAUCGUUGCCAACAGCUUUUUCAUCCUUCCAACAAUGCUACUUCCCCCAAUAUAAGCAGGCUCUACAUUGCAAUCGAAGGAGAGAUCUGUUGUGCAAACAAGGGAACUACUGUUCAUUCUAGGUUUACUGAAGGCCAAUUUAGAUGCAAUCCUUGUCCUUCUUAAAUUCAUGCCAGACAACUUGAAGGUAAAAAACAAAAUGAAGCUCAGUACUCCAACAAAAGUGAUCUUUCGAACAACAUCACUAUAGGUUAACCAACUUUCCCAACCUCUAGUAUGUUGUGCACCAAGGAUCCUUUUCAAUUGAACAGAUGAUUCAUUAACAUUGCCUCCACUGACAUUCUUCCCCAAUGUCAAUGAGCUUCGCAAAUCAGUUGGAGCCAACUGCUUAACAGCAGACCCAAAAUGUUGAGUAGAGUUCAUAUUUGGAAGAGAUUCCCCAUGAUCCAUUUGUUUCAAUGCAAUAACAGACAAUGGUUUGUGGUCUAGCGCGGUAUUCAUUUGUGGAGAUACUUUCCCUUUUUUGUUUCCAGGAGUUCUUUUUUCAUCGCCAAAAAACUUAACCUGUUGAAACAUGUUUUUGUACUCUGUAACUCCCAGCUAAAAAUGGAGGUUAUUAUUUGUUUAUGGUCCAUAUUCAGGCAUCUUACCAAAGACGGAGAGCAAUCCCUAGUAUCUGGAAAGACAGAAAGCACUGAAUCCUUCAGCCAUGUUUCCUUGGCCAGACCGUCAGACGCUUGUCUACGCCUUGCACCUAGGCUCCAGGUCCCCUUGGCGCCUUGAUGAGCCUUAAGCCUUUCAUAAGUAUGAACAAUGAGGACUGAUUGGUUGGCAGCUAGCGCUUCCAAGGCCAGCGGUGAGAACAAACUAUCACCCCAUGUGGUACCUCUAAUACCAUGUAAAAGAUGAAUUUUCCAUAUUUUUGGAAGAAUCAAUAGUACAUAUUUUUAUACAAGUACCUUCCUAUAACUCUGCUACCUAUUUAGGAAUAAAUCUCUACAAUUAUGGCCUAUACUAAAUAGGAAUAUACAAUUAUACACAAGUCAACCCUUUCCAUAACAAUAAGAAAGCAUCCAAUGCAAAAAAGCAAGAGCUACUGGGUGGGGAGGUCCAAAGUCCCUUCCAUGCAAACAUGAGACUUGAGUUAUACACUCUUAACAUUAAAUAGACUAUGACUACACAUAGACAACCAAAGUAGUAUUCUAAUAUUAACACGCACCAAAUCCAAUUGCAAGAGGUACGGCAUUUAGCAACAUACAUCGAUAGUCUUAGCAAUCUAGCUCUCCACCUAAGUUUGUUUGAAAUGCAUGUGUAAAUGGAAAACUAAUAUAAGAACGAUAUACCAAUGAUGGUUUUGUGCCAGAGACAUCAGUUAUCUCCUUCCCUGGGAGUAAACUCCGCGAAGCAGGAUUUGAGUUUAAUUCUAGCUGAUGAAACUUUUCAACAACUUGGGCCUCAUUACCCUGGCCAAGAAGAAACAAGCACAAGGCUUCCUCAAAUUUUAGAUCAAUACCUUCUGAUGUCAUCAAACACUCACAUAAAAUUUUUGCUUUGUUGAUCAGUUCUGUUUGCCUGCUUGAAAAACCAACAGAAAUAUGAGCUAUUAGUGCCACAGAGAAACAGUUAAAGUCAAUGACCACCCUUUGGUUUUGUGAUUCAAGUGAUUUCUUAUUCUUCCGUAUGAGGGCUAAAUCAUCCCAAGGAAGAAGAUCAACUACUUCUAUAGCCAUGAGCCUACUAAGUGCUUGGUUCAGAAAACCUGGCCAAUCUUGAACUCUGCAUGAGGUUUCCACAUCAAGGCCUUGCCUGAGCAACUCACGCAAGGCUGCUAUUGCUCCUCGUCUCCGUUCAGCAUUAUCAGAAGAAUGAGGCAUGCCUAAUAAUUCCAAUGUGCAAGCAGGCGCAAGCUCCUCCAAAGAAUCCUCUAUCUCAUAUAACAACGCCACCUUUUCAAGAGAGAUUUUGCUUCUAAGGAGGCAUUGAGCGCGAGCAAGUGCUUCAAAUCCAUGGGCCACUUUAUUCUUCUCAAAACCAAUCUUAGCAAUUGCACACUCUGCUAAUGCCAUAGAUAGAAGCAAAUCAUGGAUAUAUGGCUUAGCAUCAGGAUGCUGGAGAGCUGAUCGGCCAAUAUCGAACACUAAUUUGUCUUCUCCAGCCUCUUGAAGUAGGCAAAGAGCACCAGACAACCAAGCCCAUGGAAUUCGAAGAGAAGCUUUAGGUGGGAUCUUCUCCCUCACACUGCCAGCAUAUUCAGGUUCAAAAAGAAGUUUGUCUCUAACAUCCAUUAGAAGAUCCUGGCGAGAUAUAACAGCUUCCAUGGUAUAACCUUCUUCUACAUCAGCGCUUUUCAAUUGCAUCACUGACUUAACAAUCUCAUCUUUCUCUGCUUGAUCAGGAACUCCAAUAAGCUGGUAACAAGUGAUGGGGAUUUCAACGGUGGGGGAAGUGGUGGUGGGAGUAAGAGCGGGGACAUUGUCCACAAUGCGAGUGACGGCAGCGCUCAAAAUGGAUCGGGCGGGAGUGAAAUCUCCGUUGUCGAAAACCCUAGAAAGAGAAAUGGAGAAUCUGGAAUUGGAUAAACAAAAAGGGAAAACAUGUUUUAGAAAUCUGGUUUUGAAAUGGGAAGGAGAAGGAGGAGGAAGAAGAAUUGCUAUGGAUUUCGAAUGAGCCAAUGCCAUUUUGGCCUUGAAAACCUCAAAUUGAACUGUUUUCCGCCGUUGGAAAUUCUCAGAAACAAAGCGAGGAAAGAGCAUUAUAAAAAUCAAACCCAAAACCCAAUGUUUGAUUGUUU